GACGAACGCUGGCGGCGUGCUUAACACAUGCAAGUCGAACGAAGUGGCGAACGGGUGAGUAACGCGUAAUCAACCUGCCCUUCAGGGGGGGACAACAGUUGGAAACGAAUACUAAUACCGACUACUGAAGGUGGGGAUUGCGUCUGAUUAGCUAGUUGGAGGGGUAACGGCCCACCAAGGCGAUGAUCAGUAGGCGGUCUGGGAGGAUGGACGGCCAAAUUGGGACUGGGACACGGCCCAGACUCCUAAGGGAGGCAGCAGUGGGGAAUCUUCCGAAAUGGAGGAAAGUCUGACGGCGCAACGCCGCGUGGGUGAUGACGGCCUUCGGGUUGUAAAGCUCUGUUAAUCGGGACGCGGUACCGGAAUAGAAAGCCACGGCUAACUACGUGCCAGCAGCCGCGGUAAUUC
rnacentral:rRNA from 1 species